CCAAACUUGGUCAUUUAGAGGAAGUAAAAGUCGUAACAAGGUUUCCGUAGGUGAACCUGCGGAAGGAUCAUUAAUAGGCUUUGUCGAGUCUUGGAUAUCUCUUCCUUCGACUCGACAUCCUGAUCAUUCCUAUGUGCACUUAUUGAAGAAUGCUUUGGUAGGUCGUAAGACUUGCCAAAAGUUUUUUCUAUCGACUUAUUUUUUGUCUGAAAUAUAAUAUUUAAUCAAAUACAACUUUCAACAACGGAUCUCUUGGCUCUCGCAUCAAUGAAGAACGCAGC
rnacentral:misc_RNA from 1 species